AUUUUAAAAUAAGUCAGUCCUGGGGAUGUAAUGUACAGCCUGGUGACUAUAGCUCAUAAUACUGUAUUUGAAAAUUGCUAAGAGAGUAGAUCUUAAAAGUUCUCACCACAGGAAAAACAAUUUGUAGCUAUGUGUGUUGAGGGAUGUUAACGAGACUUAUUGUGAUGGCCAUUUCACAGUAUAUACAUAGAUCGAAUCAGUAUGUUGUGCACGUGAAACUAAUAUAAUGUUAUAUGUCAAUUAUAUCUCAAUUUUAAAAAUCAGGAAGGUAAUCAAAGUCAGAAAGAUCAUCACCUAUAUUUUCCUCUAAAAGCUUUAUUGUUAUUCUCACCUAUAUCUACUAUCCAUUUGAGAUUAAUUUUUUUGUCUGUUAUGAGAUAUGCGUCAGGAUUCGUUUUUUCCAAGGCUAUCUAAACUGACCCAGUGCCAUGUAUUAGAAAGACCUUCUUCCCCCGUUGCACUGCAGUGUCAGCUUUCUCAUGAAUCAGGAGACUGUACGGAUGUGGGUCUGUUUCUGGACCCCCUCUUCUUCCAUUUAUCUGUCUGUCCUUGUGCACCAAUAUCACGCAUGCUGCCCUAAUUAUUGUUGCUUUAUAAUAAGUCUUUAUUAUUCUGGUAGUGGAAGUCCUCAGCAUUGUUCUUCUUUAAGAUCUUAGGUAUUUUUAUCUAACCCUGCUGGCAAAGCCUUUUUCAAAAAUAUAUAAAAAGUAGUCAUUCUGUAAGCUCAAAACGGGCCUAAUGUAUAAGGGUAUGAUUGGCAUAAUUUGUAAACUCUAUCCAUCCAUAAAUUCACUGCUGACAAUCUAUAUUACAUUCAAUGCCUGCAUAUUUACAUGAGACCUACAGCAAAGUGAAUACAAAAUAAAUUCACAUCAUUUUAGUGAAAAAUGACCUUUAGUACAUAUAAGAUAUAGUUUCAAAACAAAGAGAAUUUUUUAAAACUAAGAAACUGAAGUUUUCCAAAGGCCAAUUUGCUACUUUUUGCAAAAUACAGCAACAUUAAUUAUAAUGCUUCCCAUUCAUGUUUGGUUGUAAGAUAUGUUCCUAUGUGACUGAAAUGCAGCUGAAGUUUUGGAUUUUAAUAACCAAAGUAAAGUACUUUUGAUUAAUAAUUAAAUUUAAAAUAGUAGGUGCUUUUAUAUGCAUACAUGCACACAUAGAUACAUAUAUAUAUAUAUAUUUUUUUGGAAUAUUUUUUGUGUGUGUGAGGAAGAGUGGCCCUGAGCUAACCUCUGUGCCAGUCUUCCUUUAUUUUGUAUGUGGGACACUGCCACAGCAUGACUCGAUGAGUGGUGUGCGGGUCCACACCCAGAAUCCAAACCCGCGAACCCAAGCCACCAAGGGGGAGUUAGUGAACUCAACCACUUUAACACUGAGCCAGCCUUUGGAAGACUUUGACAUUUUUUAAAGUCUUCCAAAAUUUACAAAUGUAGUGCUGAAAGCAUAUGUACCUCACUAUAUACUUAGCAAACAUGAUUUAUUUUAAUACAAGUCAUAAGACUGCAGUUAAUUAACCAGAAUGCCAUGAUUGUUUUCUGCCUGCUAGAGUUCUAUCUUAAAUCUGAGUUUCUAGCAAAAUCAGUAAUUUAGAACUUAUUUCACAAAAUCAGCUCCAAGAUUUGCUGGGCACUUUUCCAUUAUUCUACCACUUAUAAACAUAAGUAACAGUAUAUAGAGACUAGUGGCUCCUUGUAUCAAAAUUACCUGGAGAGCUCUUUAAAAAUACGGAUUCUUGGGCCCCACUUCUGAACUAUUGAAUAAGAAUUUCCUGAGGUAUCUAUAUUUUUAAAAGCUCUCUAGGUGAUAACGAUCUGCAGUUUGGUCUGAGAACCACUGACGUAGCUGACAAGACUGAUCUUUAGGUACGUCAGAAUGCUGGGGUACUGGUUUAACAAGUAGGUUCCCAAGCUUUACGCCCAGAGAUCUGAUUCAGUCACUUCGGGAUGGAGCGCAGGAACAGGCCAUCAUUGCCGUUGACCCAUCUUUGUUUUCUGUGCUGUGUAACAAAUUACCACAAGUUUAGCAGCUUAAACCAACACCUAUUUAUUGUCUCAUAGUUUCUGCAGGUCAAGGGCCCAGGCAAGACUGGCUCAGUCUUCUGCUGGGAUCUCACGGGGCUGUAGACCAAGUGUUAGCUGGGGCUGCAGUGCUAUCAGAGACUCAACUGGGGAGGGAUCCACUACCAAGCUCCCUCAGUUGUGGCUGUCAGAAGUCUAAAAUGGACCAGCAGGGAGGAAUCUACGUACUUGCCUUUUCUAGCUUCUAGAGGCACCUGCAUUCCUUGCUGGUGGCCCCACAUUACACCAAUCUCUGCUUCUGUCGUCGGCAUCUCCUUCUCUCACUCUGACCCUCCUGCCUUCCUCUUAUAAGACCUGUGGGAUUACAUUUGGCCCACCUGGAUAAUCCAGGAUAAUCUUCCCAUCUCAAGAUCCUUAAUCACAUCUGCACAGUCG
ensembl:lncRNA